UACAGAGGUGGCAAGCGUUGUUCGGAAUUACUGGGCGUAAAGGGCUCGUAGGCGGCCAACUAAGUCGGAUGUGAAAUCCCCAGGCUUAACCGGGGAACUGCGUCUGAUACUGGAUGGCUUGAGUUUGGGAGAGGGACGCGGAAUUCCAGGUGUAGCGGUGAAAUGCGUAGAUAUCUGGAGGAACACCGGUGGCGAAGGCGGCGUCCUGGACCAACACUGACACUGAGGAGCGAAAGCCAGGGGAGCAAACGGG
rnacentral:rRNA from 1 species